CCUCCCUGGCAAUGGGCAAAGAGACACUUUGUUGACAGUGUUCUUCUUAUAUGAGAUAGGGGCAGAGCAGUUGGCAGUCCUUUGUUCACCCUAACUUGAUGCCUGGCUUGGCAGUCAAAGCUGUUUUAUGCCUAGAACACAAAA